GGGCCCAUAGCUCAAUGGUAGAGCAGCCGGCUCAUAACCGGUCAGGUCUUGGUUCGACUCCAGGUGGGCCCACCA
rnacentral:tRNA from 1 species